UUAGUUUGGACGCUGUCCCUAUUGCUAAACAACCCAGCCGUGCUAAAGGCUUCUCAAGAAGAGCUGGACGAGCAAGUAGGAAGAGAAAGAUGGGUGGAAGAAUCAGAUAUACAGAACCUCAGGUACCUCCAAGCAAUUGUGAAAGAAACCCUGCGCUUAUACCCCCAGGCCCCUUAACAGGAAUACGUGAGGCCAUGGAAGAUUGUUCUAUUGGUGGCUAUGAUGUUCCUAAGGGCACUCGACUAGUAGUUAACAUAUGGAAGCUGCAUCGAGACCCUCGUGUGUGGAAAAACCCAAACGAGUUUAAACCUGACAGGUUCUUGACAACCCAUGCUGAUCUUGAUUUCAGGGGUCAAAAUAUGGAGUUCAUUCCUUUUAGCUCGGGGAGAAGAUCUUGCCCUGCCAUAAAUCUUGGCUUGAUAGUGGUUCAUCUGACACUUGCUAGGAUCCUUCAGGGUUUUGAUUUAACAACUGUUGCAGCCUGUGGACAUGAUUGAAGGCCCAGGCAUUGCCUUGCCGAAGGAGACCCCUCUCGAAGUUGUCAUCGAACCACGCCUAGGAUUGGAGCUCUACUAGGUAUCAAUGCCUUUGCCUUCACCAGUACAUACAUACAUCAAUAAAAAAGUUGAUUUAGGCAUCUUAACAAGUUAAGCGUAUGAGCUUGCGUCAGAUUAUGCUACUAUGCUAUGUAAUGAAGCGAAUACCAACAGAUGUGUGAUAUCUGGUGAUGGCUAUGAAUAUAAUGGCCAGCUUACGUGUACCUCGAUUAAUUUCACGGGUCUUAAAUUUAAUGAUCAUGUAAACCUCAAAUGGAUUUGAAAUUUAUAAAAUUCGAAAUUAUAAUAUCUAGAAAACAGAUUUAAAAUCUGACUAAUUAAACUACACUCAUUGCGCCUUUCUUUUUUCUAAUGACCAGAGAUCGGUUCGGGUUACAAAAUCUCUCGUUCAACAGACCAGAGAUUUCUGCUGCAGUCUCAACUAGAUUACUUUCACGUUCUGUUUUUAUUUGGUAUAUAGUUUAUGCGUUUUAGAAUAUAAUAAUAACAACAAUCAUAAUAAAAAAUAGUGUUUUCACCUGGAAAUGGUGUGUGUAUAUAUAUAUAUAUAUAUAUAUAUAUAUAUAUAUGUAUAUAUAUAUGUUUUUGUAAUUUAUAUUUAAAUUUAUUUUUUAUAUAUACUUUUCUUUCAAAAAUUAUUAUACAAAAACAAAAUAAAAAAUAUUUUAUUGUUGCAAAUACGCUAAUAACACCUAUACAUUAAUAUUUUUGUAUUAGAAAAAAAAUAAAAUUAGUUGACUUGCAGCGAGACGAGUUAAAUAUAUACGUAAUACUUUAUUUUUAAUAUUUAUUAGCAUAAAUAGUUUUUGAUAUAUUUAAUUUAAUGCAUAUAUAAAAGUUUUGAUUUUUAAUUAAAAUUCAAAAAAGACUUUAAAAAAUUUACAUAUUUAUGUUUUUUACGAGAAAUAUUACUUAACUUUAACCAAAACGUAGAUCAAAUAAUUGAUUUAGGCUUUUAUAUUUUUAAAAUAAUUUUUAAAAAAUUAAAAUUUAUUUUUUCUCUCCCAACAUCCCCGUAAAAUUGGAAGGGCAAAUUAGCUUUCCCGACGCCAAUACAUGAGAGAAGUAGUUGCGUUUAUGAAUAAAUAAUGACCUCAUCAUCAAUAGCCAUCCACUGACAAAAGUACACGCGAUACAACUUCCAAAGUAGUGUCAUGUAUCGAGGUACGAGGUACGUCAUUUUCAAAGAAACUUUUAUCACCUUGUAAUCGAUUCACAUGUUCAGUGUACAAAGGAAACUUCGGAUGACAAGUAAUUAGGUAAGAGUUUAUCUACUCUUAUGAUUCGAUGAUAAAGGAUUUUAGAAGGAAUUAUAAGCAAGCUUUUAGAGCAUUUGUCUUGAUGAACUAAGGCCUGUUGAUAGGUUCGCUUGUGUCACAGUAACAGAUCUUGCUUGGAAUGUUGAUUGCAUUGCAAAGAUCCUUUCAAAGCAUGCGUGGUCGAGAAAUUAGUUUUGACAAGAUUAGUCUUCAAUUUGGCACGCGACAUCCAAGACUUAUUCAAGAUGACAUUAUUCAAGACUUUUGUAAUAUAGUUUUAUUAGUUUGGGUGUAGAUUUAAAUGUGAUUUGUAAAUGAGUAAUGUUAAAAUAAUUGUUUUAAUGUAAAAAUUUAAAUUGUUAAAUGAGAUUUGACACUACCAGAAAAUCAGCGAAAACCAACAGAAUUACCGACAUAAUUUUUUGUUCCGUCUCUAAUUUUGUUGGUAUGUACCGAUAGAAAAUACCCGUUAGCAAUAAGGUUGGUAUAUACCGAUGGAGUACGUCUGUCGAUAUAUAUCGAUUGUAUCGCCGAUGAAUUAUAUAGUUUUUUUUGAAAAGUUGCAACUGUGUAAUGACGUGAAUUUUUUUUAAGAUGAUUUUACCGAUGGAAUGACCAAGGGCUUCAAACAGAAUGUUCGUACAGUGACGUGGCACAGUCACUGGCGGACUCACCGAUGGGUAUACCGAUGGAACGUGUCCGUCGGUGAUUCCAUCGUCAACAAUCGAUAUAUACCCACUCUGCCGACACUCUAUUUCUCCUUCUUUUUCCCUAUCUUCUUCCUCAUCCCACCUCUCCCCUCUCGAACUGCAGCCAACCACCCAUCACAACUCUCCCCCUCUUCUUAACACAAGCACUCAAGUUUCUUAUACUUUCGUACGUGGUCACAACAUCCAUUCUUGUGGAUUUUAUCAUUUUUUGUAAGUAAAUCUAUCCUUUUUAGUCUUAACAUUUAAAUGUGAAUUAUUUUUUUUAGUAUAUGUUUUUUUGUUAACGUAUGUACUUGUUUGAUUGUUAUUUAUCAAAUAAACUUGUAGUAUGAAUGUAUGAUUUUGUAGUUGUUAUAGUUUGUUUUAGAUUUUGUCAAAUUAUAUUUGUUUGUAAAUUGUUGAAACUUUGUUUGAAUUACACCAAAUUAGAUGCAUUGUGAUGAAAUAAAAAAUAGUUUGUUUAACGGUUCCAUUUUAAUUUUUAUCAAUUCUAUUGCGAAGUUGUAAUUUCCAUAAAUUUAUAUGCACGUUGAUAGUUGAUAAUGAAUAUUUAACAUAAGUGUUUUUUUAGUUUGUUGGAUAAUGUCGGGGCAAACGAAUAUUUUGUUAUGUUUAUUUAGGUAACAUAGUUAAUUAAUACAUGUUGUCGUCAUAAUUUUAUAGAGGUUUGAUAGAAGUCAUGGAUGUAUCGGGACUUACCCCAAGGAUUGCAGAGGAUGGAUUAUUGUAACGGGGUUCAGGAUUUUAUUAAUUUCACAACAUCUAUCCCGAUAAAUUUUACUAAUUGCGGUAUUAGGUGUCCAUGCACGAAGUGUAAAAAUAAAAAUUUUUGCAUCAAGAUGUUGUAACGAUGCAUCUUCUACCCAAAGGUAUGCACACCGAGAACUAUUUGUUCCUAAUGAGAGCAUGGUAGAAAGGGUGGUUGGGUCAACUUCUAGUGCUAGCAACAUGCAUGAAGUUGGAAAUGACAACAGUAAUCCUUAAAGGAACAUGGUUAUGGAUGCAAUGAGAAGGAGUGAAUGUAAUGUCAGUGAAUGUCCAAUCAUGGAAGAAGAACCUAAUAUAGAUGCAACAAGGUGUUUUAACCUGUUGAAAAAUUCUGACGAACCAUUAUUGGAUGGCUGCACAAACCACAUUAAAUUAUCGGUUGUAGCGCAGGUGUUCACCAUCAAGUCAUAUCACAAGUUGAGUGAGACCGGUUAUGACAAGAUUAUCGAAUGGGCAAGAAUCAUUUUACCUGAAGGGAACAAGUUGAAAGAGAACUUCUAUGCUGCCAAGUCCAUGAUGAAACCCCUUAGUUUAUGCUACCAUAAAAUUGACAUGUGCCCUAACUUCUGCAUUUAUACUACCUUGAAAAUGCUGAGCUGACGGAGUGCAUGACAAGUGGGCAUUCCUGUUAUAAACCCAGAACUGGUAGAGGAAAGACUCUCGUGGCAUAUAAAAAACUUAGAUACUUCCCAAUCACACCUAGACUGUAGAGGUUAUUCAUGUCACCAAGGACUGCUGAGCAUAUGACAUGCCACCAGUCACAUCAUGGGGUUAAUGGAGUGAUGGUGCACCCUUCUGAUGGCGAAGCAUGGAAACACUUUAACAUUGUGCAUCCUUACUUUUCAGCUGAAUUAAGGAACAUGCGUCUUGGGUUUUGUACAGACAGAUUCAACCGAUUUGGGUCAUUUGCUGCUCCUUAUUCUUGUUGGCCGGUAAUACUGAAGGUUUAUAACUUGCCACCGUGUAUGUGCAUGAGGCCGGAGUUCAUGUUUUUAUAUAUGGUUAUACCAGGUCCGAGCAGUCCGGGGUGGAAUAUAGAUGUUUGUCUUCGAUCAUUGAUUGAUGAGUUACCGUAGUUGUGGUUCUCUAGAGCUUUGACUUAUGACAUCUCGAGGAAACAUAAUUUUGUUAUAAGAGCGGCUUUGUUGUGGACUAUUAAUGAUUUCCUAACUUAUGAAAUGUUUUAUGGUUGGAGCACUCAUGGAAAACUAGCAUGUCCAUACUGUGUCGAGAACAAUAAGGCAUUCACGCUAACAAACAAGGGUAAAGCUUCUUUUUUUUACUGUCACCGUCGUUUCUUGCCACUGAAUCAUAGGUACAGAAAGAACAUAAAGGAUUUCUUUGUUAGUAGAGUUGAAAAGGAUGUUGCACCCCUAUGUCUUCUGGUGAAGAAUUGCAUGAUGUUGUGUCAGAGUAUGGUGACAUUGUGUUUGGUCUCCAAUCAGGUAAGCAGAAGUUUCCUGGUUUUGGUUUGACCUAUAAUUGGGUGAAGCGAAGUAUCUUUUGGGAGCUUCUUUAUUGGAAGACCAAUCUUCUUCGCCAUAACCUUGACGUCAUGCACAUUGAAAAGAACGUGUUUGAGAACAUUUUCAACACCGUCAUGGAUGUGAAGGGGAAGACAAAGGACAACAUCAAGGCUAGAUUAGAUGUAGUGUUGUUCUAUAACCAUAAAAAUAUAGAGUUGGUUUGUGAUGGGUCACGGGUCGCAAAACCAAGAGCAAGCUUCGUGUUAGAGAAAAACGCACAACUACUAGUCUAUAAAUGGCUUAAGAGUCUGCGUUUUCUUGAUGGACAUGCCUCGAACAUAUCAUGACUGGUUAAUACGAAGGAAUGCAGAUUAUAUGGAAUGAAGAGUCAUGACUGCCAUGCGUUAAUGCAAACACUCAUCCCAUUAGCUUUUCGUGAUUUGUUGCCAAAGGGGAUAUGGGAUGCACUAAUGGACAUCAGUCAUUUCUUCAGAGAUAUAUGCUCCAAUAAAUUGAAUGUUGAUCACAUUGAAAAGCUUGAAACGAAUAUCGUCGAGACAAUAUGCAAACUUGAGAUGAUAUUCCCUCCAUCUUUUUUUGACUCAAUGAAGCAUCUACCCAUACAUUUACCGUUUGAGGUAAAAGUUAGAGGACCGGUCCAAUACAGAUAGAUGUAUCCAUUCGAGAGGUUAGAUAUUAUAGUUGCUAUGUAAUUCAUAAAAUGUUUUUUCAUUUUUUUAAUUGAUAAUAUUUUUAUUAAUUCUAUAUAUAUAUAUAUAUAUAUAUGUGUAUGCAUGCAUGCAGGUACUUGUUCAAUCUUAAAAAAAGGUUAAGAACAAGGCACAUGUUGAGGCGUCAAUAUAUGAGGCCUAUAUUGUUGAGGAGAUCUUAAUAUUUAUCUUAUACUAUUUCGAACCUUAUUUGAAAUGAGGAUCAACCAUGUUCCACGGCAUGAUGAUGGUGGUGGAGUGCUUUCAAGUGGAAACUUGUCAAUAUUCUCUAAUCUUGGACAACCCACACCUAAAAAUUCCGUGAGGGGAAGAUAUUUGUCUAAAAUAGAGUCCAGACAAUCACACAAUUAUGUCUUAUUUAACUGUGAUGAGCUGAGACCUUUUAUUAAGUAAGUAGAUGUUCGACUUAAACUUUGUCAAGAGUGUACUAUUUAUAUAUUGUGAUACCAUAAACUCAUAUAAGUUGGAACAACCUUGCAGGCAACAUCGACGAUACUUACUGUAAAAAAACUUACAGCUAACCAAAUCCUAGAUCUUUUAAUUACAAGAUGAACAAUUUGCCAUGUGGUUUAGAACACAUGUAAGUCCUAUCAUAAACUCAUUAUCUCUUGCAAUGUAUUAUUGUUGUAUUUGAUAUAUAAGGUUUAUCAAAUGGGAGGUAGUGCUGCUAUUUCACUGUCUUUACUAAGCUCGGGCUCUAAAAGAAAAGUCAAGUGCUGUAACGGGUAUUUUGUCAAUGGAUGUCUUUCAUACUGAAGAAUACGGGCAUGGAAGAAAGACAUACAAUAGCGGUGUUUGUAUUAAGGGAUCGACUUCGAGUGAGUUUGAAGUUGACUACUACAGUAGAUUGGAUGAGUGAUUAGUACUUAAAAGUGCAUUUUUAUCAAGGUUUUAUAUCAUCAUUUUGCACUUGAAGUAUCAAUAACUACUUAACUAAAGCAUGUUUUAUAAUAACAUACCUAAUAAUAUAAGAUACCUUUAAUUUAUGGUAAAUGUUCAUCUUAAAUUCAGGCCUAUCACAUAAAUGAAAGGAUUGAUUUAUGAGUUUAAGUAUUGAAAUUGAAAGGACAAAGAGAUGGCCAAACUUAGAAAAGAGAUGUUGAUGCAGUCUAAACUGGAAUACUAUUUGGUAAUUGGGUCAUAUCUCGAGUUUUAAAUGUCCAAAUGACCUAAAUAUUUUGGACAUAUUCGGUAAGACAUAGGCCUAAAACUUUCAUGUGGAGUCCAAGAUUUAAAAAGGUCAUUUUCAAGUCUGAAUUAUAGCAACAACGGAGAAGUCUGAAUCUGUCCUGCAGCCCAAACACUGUUCAAUGUUCAGCCCAUAUCUUGAGUUCUAGAAGUCCAAAUGACCUCAAUUGUUUUUUUUAGGAAAGAUAAUACAAUUUCCUAUAACUUUCAUCAGUACAUGUGGUUCUAGUUCUGAUGCUAGCCAUGAAAUUUUAUUCAGACAAGAAGAUAAAAGAUUUUCACCAAGUCAAGAGUUGGCCACCCACUCAACAAUUAGUCAUCAAAUCAAUAGUUCCAAAUUUUGGCCUAUAAAAGGAGGCAUUUGCCAUGCAUUUAAGGGCUUGGUUGUUUAGAUCAAGAACUUGCUCUUGCUCUCUCUCUCUCUAUAUAUAUAUUUCUUUUGUAAUUCUUAAGUUUUGCUUUCAUUAAUAUCUUUUUAUGCUUUUCAUUUCAUUUCCUUUACUUAGUUAACUUGUAUCUUGUUUAUGUUCUUAUUUUGUUUAUUUAUGUUUCUCUUCUUCAUUAUGUUUGUCGCACCCCAAAAAAAAUCCGAAGCGCGGCAUCGACUGGCGAUUAUUCGUUUUGUUUUGUUGAUUUGGUUCUUUGGAGUCGCCACCUAGUAAUUCAUUGAGGGCUACUAGGAAACCUGAUGUACUGGUCUUGUCAGAGAUCGCGGGUAAGGGACUGGUUGUGGUUAGGGAAGGUAUUAGCACCCCUAACGCACCUUACCUGAGGUAAGCUGCUUUGUGGACUUGAUGUGUUAAAGAAGCUUUAAAAAUUCUGUUCUUUCAUCGAAUUUUAGAAAAUACAACUUACAUGUAAGUUCAUGAUUCUUUAUCCGUGAUUAAAUCAUAAUAUUAAAUUCUUCUUUAUUCUUGCAAUUUUAUCAUAAUAAAAAAACAUUCAUAAACAAAAAUACACACCACAUUCACUUUCAAGCUUCGUGGACUUGAUGUGAUUUUAAAAACAAAAUUUUAGCCCAAUUCUAAGGCUUUGAUAAAUCAGUUAUUACUUUUCCAGAUUUAUAUGUAGAUACAUGUUCUACAUUUUCAUGGAAAAUUCAACAUGAUUUUUAUCUGUCCUUUAGAUAUUUGUGCAUAUAAAUUAAAUUCCUUUUUUUAUUAUUCAAUAACAUACAUAAAAAAAAUACAAACACACACAAACAUUUUUUUUUUUAUUUCUUUUAUUUCUUUUCUUUUUUUUUCUUUUCUUUUACAUCACAAUACAAAUACAAAUCCAAAUUCAAAAAAAAAAAACUAAAUAAAAAAUUACAUGAAUUAAUUUAAAAUUUACAAAAUAGUCCCUAAACUCCCAAAAUUGUAGGGAAGCCCUUCAUACAUGCCGAAACAGUGCCGGCGCGUCUGGUCCAUGCGCCACCGCCACUAGCGGCGCGUGGACCCACGCGCCGCUGAGAACAGACCCGCACACCAGCUGGAUCUGGCUCUACUCCGUCUCCUCUUCCCUUCUGCACUGGCAGUGAGGGGGCAACAACACCUGCAGAACCAAAGAAAAUCACAUCCAGUCGAUUUUAAUUUUUCGGGUCUAGAUCCAAGGAUCUGUUUUUUUUCUUCUCCUUUUCAGGUCUGCAUCACUACAGAACCUUCGUUUGUUUAUAUCUCCUUCUCCUUCACUUAAGAUGGCCGGCAGCUGGGUGGCGCUGCAGUGUUUAGAGGGCGGCGGUGAAUCAGUGGGGCUGUUCCUGACUGGUCGGUGAACCUGUGGCCGCCGUGUCUCAGCUGCAGUUCGCAACUGCUGAAGGGGUCGGCGGUGAGGGAAUGGACGGAUGGCAGAUCUGAUGACCGGAGCUGCGGGUGCAGCCGUGCGUGUCUCAGCCGUGCAGCCGGAGGAGCUGCAGACGACGUCUGCUUCGGUCUCUGAUGGGGAAAGAGACGCUACUGUUGGCCUGUGGGUUGGAGAUCGGUGGCGGCGGCUGCGGUGAGAGGAGCUGCUGUGUUUGGCCGGUUGGAGAAGAAACAGGGGCCGGCAUGCAGGGGAGGUUGGUGUCGGCUGGGAGAAGAAAAAAAAAAUGGCUUCGGGGUGGAGCUGUGUGUGGGGGAAGGAAGAAGAGAAAAAUCAAAAAUCAAAGGGGUGGGGGGCCCCGGCGUUUUGCCUCUCGUGAGGGAGAAGAAGAAAAGUUUCAAACCUGCGGUUUGCUGGCGGCUCCGGAUGGGUGAGGGAGAAGCUAUGCUUGCUGGCGAGAAGAAGGAAAAAAAAAUCUGAUGAGGGGGGCUGGGGAGGCGCCGGCCUGGCGGCUCAGAAAAGAAAAAAAAGCUUGUAGGGUUUUUCUUUGUGUUUUUGGUUCCCUCUCCCCAAAAUUACCAAAUGACCCCCCCCUUUUUUUUUGAGUUUUCAACCUAUAUUUAUAGGUAAAAGUUUGUUCAAACCUCCAAAUUGGUCCCUCAACUUUCUUUUUUUGUAAAUUUUGAUUUUUCUUGUUUUUUUCUUGUAUUUUUAAAAACGAGCAAAAUCAACGUCAAUUCUAUGAGAAAAAUUACGAUUUUAAAAUGACGCGUGAAAAGUCGAACGCGUUCGAAAAAACAAUUGAAAAUUAAAAUUAUUUUUAAAAGACGUUGAAAAUGCUAAAAACAUUGCAAAUAUAUUAAAAACAUUUUUUUUUUGGAUUUUUGUUGUUUUUCACUAUUUUUGGAUUUUUUUGAAAAAAUUAUUAAAAAGGUGGGUCAAAAAUUGGGUAACAACAAUGUUUAACUAAGUUUAUUAUGUCAAAGUGAAAAGGUUACACUAAUAGUGUAAGAAUAAGUAUGGUGUAAACUCAACAUGGACCUUAAUGUUUAAUAUUAACAUGUCUUAUCUUUUUAUCUUACUAAUUCUUAAUACCUUGCUUGUUAAAUGGUUAAUCUAGAUUUGUGUUGUAUAACACUUGGUACAACAAAUGCUUGGCACUCUCAUAGCCCAACCGUAUGAUAUUACCUACACAUGUGCUAUGAAUGGAACUUGAUUUGUUGUCAACAUAAGUUAGCAUCAUGAAUUCCUUAAAAUAUUUCAAAUUUUGGUGUUACGUAAAUAAAAUAAUUAAUAUGAUGAUGUUAACAAUUUAUAAUGAGCUAUUAAUAACAAAUCAUCUGAUUGGAACCUCCUUUGUGUGUGGUUAUCAAUUGAGUAAUAAGAGUUUAUACUAUACUUGUUUGAAAUACCAUUAGUGGAUCCUCUAACCUUGAUAUUUGUGUUCAUUAUUGUUUAAUCCUUACAUUAAUCUUCCAUCUCAAAGUUCUCAUCAACUUCUUCUUUACUACUACUACUACUACUAUUACUACUACUGUUGUUGUUGUUGUUGUUGUUGUAUUAUUGUUGUCUAUAAUUUAUACAAUUAACCUUCUUGUGGUUCGACCCCGGUCUUUCCAGGUUAUUUAUUACUUUGACACUCUUGCACUUGGGAGAAGACAUCAAUCUUUUAGUCGUGUCAAGUUUUUGGCGUCGUUGCCGGGGAGGUAAAUUCUUGUACAAAUUAUAGUAUUUAUUUUAUUUUCUCUUUUCACUUUUCUUGUAUUUAACUUUGUUUCUUUUCUUUUCUUUUGUUUCUUUUUCUUUUGUUUACUUUUUCCUUUUAUUUUCUUUCUACACGUGCAUGAGUGUUUGGUCACGUACAGUAAGUGGUAGACUUUGUAUGGUAUCCUCAUCAUUUUCAGAAAAUAUGACCGAAGAAAAUAACCAAUCACUUCAUAAUGAGAAUAACCAAGUUAGAACACUUAGAGACCACAUGAAUCCCACAAAAACAAGUGUACCCUCAUGCAUAGUUUUCCCUCCUGAUGCAUCUCAUUUUAAUUUUAAGCCAGACAUUAUUCAACUUUUACCUUCUUUUCAUGGCUUAGAUCUAGAAAAUCCAUACUUGUAUUUGAGAGAAUUUAAAGAAGUUUGUAACACCUAUAAUGACUUAAAUUGUAGCAUGAAUACCAUUAGAUUAAAGCUUUUUCCUUUUUCAAUAAAAGAUAAAGCUAAAAAAUGGCUACAAAAUCUUAUAUCAGGAUCCAUUAGUGCUUGGGAUGAAAUACAACAACAAUUUUUAAAGAAGGUUUUUUCAUCUCACAAAACUAACUCUUUCAAAAGACAAAUCACCACUUUCACUCAAAAACCUGGUGAAACAUUUUACCAAUGUUGGGAUAGUUAUCGAGACUUGCUUAAUACUUGCCCUCAUCAUGGUUUUAAAACAUGGAGAUUGGUUUCAUAAUUUUAUGAAGGGUUAACACCUAAAGAUAGGCAAAUGGUUGAAUUGAUGUGCAAUGAAACUUUUGAAGAUAAAGACCCUAAUGAAGCAAUGGAGUACCUAGACUUGCUAGCUGAAAAUGCGUAAAAUUGGGACACUACGGGCACUUAUGAGGCACCAAGUAAAACCCAACUUCAUACAUCUAGUGGAGGUAUGUAUAACCUUGGGGAAGAUCAUGACCUCCAAGCCAAGUUUGCAUCUUUAACCAGAAAAGUUGAGGCACUAGAAUUGAAAAGGAGUGGUCAAUUAAAAUCUGUUCAAGACAUUGUGUGUCAAAUCUGUGAAACAAAUGAACAUGCAACCAAUGACUGUCCAACUUUGCCUUCUUUCAAGGAAUGCCUCCAUGAACAAGCUCGUGCUUUAAACAGUUUUCAAAGGCCCAAUCAUAACCUAUACUCGCAAACAUACAACCCUGGUUGGAGAAACCACCCAAAUUUAAGUUGGAAGAGUGAUAAUAAUAAUGCACAAACUUCAUAGCCAUCGUUUCAAGCACACUAUAAUUUUCAAAAUUCUCAUGGAUAUGCACCUCCUUGUUGUAACCCAUUUUUGGGUCUUCACCUAAAAAAUACAAAAAAAUUCAAAAAAAUAUAUUAUCAAAAAAUAUAACAGUGAAAAAAAAAUGCCAAAGCGCCUUAAAAAUAUUCAAAAAUUGAUUAAGGAUGUUCAAAAAAAUUAAAAUUAAAAUUUGACAGUAUAUCAUUGACUGAUGCAAGCCCCGAUGAUAAAGAAAAUUCAAUUUGAGGAAGAAAAAUGCAAAAUUAGAAGUUUAUGGACUCAAUUAAAUUUUAUUGAAGGUUUAAUUGAAUUUAUAGAGGUUUUAAUUGCAAAAACAAUUCAUUUUUGAGUUAUUUUGGGCUUUAAUUGGAAGAAAUUAAUUUUCUGGGGUCAAAUUAUAAUUUUUGGAAGUUAAUUUGGUCAAAUCAGGGGCUUAAUUGCAUAAAUAUUGAAGUUUAAUGGCCAAUUAGGGACUAAAUUGAAGACAUCCGAGACCAAGGACGACAUUGUAAAACGCGCGCAAUUUGAGGGCCUUCUUUGAAAUCUGACGCAUUUUGGCGCCUUUUUCUUUUAAAUGAAACGGCGCAUUUUGACCAAAACGGCGCCGUUUCAUUCACUGUUGCAAAAAAAAAAUAAAAAAAUAAAAUAGAAGCCCUAAACGGCGCCGUUUUGACGGCACUGUAGGUCUUCUUCUUCCCCUGGACGCGCGAGGCAGGGGAAGAAGAAGAUUUUUCUUCUCCCUUUUCGCCUAACUUCUUUCCCCGUUUUUACGCAAUAAGACGCCCACCAUUCGACGCCCACUUGCCUCCUUUUUAUCCGUUGAACGGAUAGUGGAGGGGCGGCCAACAGUGGCCGCCCUACCACCAUUGCCCCCCCUGUUUUUGCCUAUAAAAACAGGGGAGGACCGAAGAAAAAGAGAAGGAGAAGGAGAAGGAUUGCACGACAGAAAGAGGGUAGAGAGAGACGAGAGAAACAGAAAAAAAAAGAAAAAAAGAAGAAGGAAGAGAUUCGGCAGAGAAGAGAACAAAAACAGAGAAGAGAGAGAGAAGGAAAACCACCGGCCACCGUGCCUCCGCCUCCAGCAACACCGCCUCGACGCCACCGCAGUAACCAGCCUGUUUGGGCCUGGGCUGGGCCGUCGGCCCAGCCCAUGUAAAUAGGCUUGGUCGGCCCGGCCCAUGCAUUUGGGCCGGGUCCGGCCCAUUUUUAUUUUUUUCUUUUAUUUCUUUUAUUUUUUUAUUUUUUGUUUGUUAUAAUUUAUUUAUAUUUAUUUUUUUAAUAUCGUCUUUAUUAUUUUACAUCGUAAAAAUAUAAAUCCGGUAUUAAAAUACCCCGUUUUUGUCCCGUGGUACUGUUCACCCGGCCCAUUAAUUUAAAACAUCAUCAAAAAUAUUUUUUUUCAUUUAUAAUUUUUCCGCAUAGUUUUUAUGUCAUUUGGAUUAAUAUCAGACAAUAUUUUUAUGUCGUAAAAUACAAAUCCGGUACUGAAAUACCCGGUUUUCGACUUUCAAGAAUACAAAAACAAAUUAACAAAAAACAUGUUUUUGUGCAUACGGCCAAAUGUCUCAAAAAAAAAAAUCAUUUUGUAUUUUUCAUACAAAAAAAAAAACAAUGUUUUAGCAUGCAUUUUGACUUUAAUAACCAGUUUAUUAAAGUCAAGAGAAUAUUGCCCAAAAUUUCAAAAACAACAAAAACAUUUAUUUUGUUUAUCUUUUAAUAUCCGGGGUAUGACAUUAUACGUAAUACAUAUUCCAGAUAUUUAAUUUAUUAUUAUAUUUUUUUAAUAGAACUUGGGAUAUGACAUUACAUGUAAUGCAUAUUCCGAACAAUAAUAAAAAAAAAAACCACAAACACGACCUUAGAUUUUAUCAGACAUUAAAACAAUGCAGCCUACCUUAGGUAGGGCGUAGUUGGGGUGCUAAUACCUUCCCUUUACGCAACCAGUCUCUGUACCCCGAUCUCUAAAGACCAGUUAAGGUUCCUAGUAACCAGAAUACUAGGUGGCGACUCCCAGUCCAUUUUUUUUUUACAUAUAGAGACAAGAAUUCCUUGUCUCUCCUUAUGUUCCAGGAAUAAAUAUUUCGAUUUUUCCUUGAGGGUGGACGAUCGCCAUCGCCGCGGCGCCACACACGUGCGACAUAAUGGCGACUCCGCUGGGGACCUUGUGGACUAAGCUUUGUUUUGUCUGAUUUUUUUAUAUAUAUAUUCUUUUUUCUUGUGGUUUGCAUGUUUAUUUUUAAUAUUUUAAUAUGCAUUUUCUUUAUUUUUAUUGCUUACGUGCUUUAAUUCAUGUACAUAUAUAUGUCAAUGCUUUAAUUUAUUGAAACGAAUACACAAGCCUUUAAGUUAAGUGGGGAAUUAACGAUCUGCCCUAUGACUAUUGGUCGGGUUCAGAUGCGUGAAACACCCAACUCAUAUCUGAGUGUCUGCUUGGUAAUGGUGGGCAUACGUGCUUUAACUGUUCCUUGCAACGCCCCCAUUACUACCUUUACGAAGGCCGUCACUGGGCAGAUAUGAGACCUUUUUUGAGACUAGGUAGAAAACCUACCUUUUUUUUGUCUCACAAAAUGAUUAGAACGUAACCUUAGGAUUUUUAUUACUUUACAGUCUUAUAUAUUACUUUCCUGUUAUUUGCAUUUGCAUUUAAUCAUGUAACAAUCAUCAUUAUAGGUUGAACUGAAAUCAUGACUGAGUAUCAAUCUUUUCACAAGUUUGGGCAAGAAUCUGAGCUGACCCAGGUAGCUGAAGGAAACUGUCCAAGAAUCAAUAUCAGUACAUUACCCGAGAUUACCAAAAUAAAUCACACAAUCAAUGACUUGGAGAAAAUAUGGCCCAUAAUGAGAUAUGUUGACGAUACACUUUUCGAAAGGCGAUAUGGAAGAAUUGCUCAAUUAAUGAGGCUACCCUUACAAACAACAGCAAUCAAAGCCCUAGUAACCUUUUGGGAUCCUAGUUAUCGAUGUUUUACUUUUGGGAGCAUAGAUAUGACACCUACCUUGGAGGAAUAUGAGAGGAUCCUGGAUUUUCCAAACAAAAGCCACAGAAUUUACCUCAGACGAAAUUUUGAAGGCACAGCCGCGGAGGUGAUAAAGAUGUUAGGCCUGGGAAUGAUCAGUCAAUGCAGAAUAGCUAAUGGGGGUUUUAAAUGGAAGGUCAUUGAAGCUAGGAUGAAGAAAAAUUCUGAGGAAGGCAGAUUAGGAGACGAACGAUACCGAUUGGUGGCUUUUGCUAUUUUUGGCCUCGUAUUGUUUCCGUCUGAAAUUGGGGUCAUCAGCUUGGAAGCCGCAAGCAUAUUUUUAGAAUAUGAGUAUGAUCAGAUCAAUCCCUCUUCAGCAAUUUUGCCGAAACCAUGUUGUCACUCAACCAUUGCAGAAUAAAUGGCAAGGGGGUAAUGAGAUGUUGUGUCCCUAUGUUAUACUUAUGGAUUAUCAGUCAUAUUGAGACACCAAGGGACAUCUUCAACAACUUCUGGUGGUUCGACCUUCGACCAUUGAAAGUUACAAUAGAAGAGACUUGGAGACAUUGGGAUGAGAAAGCAUGGAUAAAGAAGUAUUCUACACUACCACAAAGCAACUUCAAAUGGAAAGCACCAUGGAUGAACAACACAGUCUGUAUAAUGAGUUGUGGAAGUAAGGAUGGGUUUCCCCUAUUGGUGUAACGGGAUACAUCAGUUAUGCCCCAGCAUUGGUAACAAGACAGUUAGGUGGAAUGCAGUAUGCACCAAGAACUCUGGGUUUAGCAGAUUUCAUGGGAUUAUUCAAACAUCAACCAUACCUCAAAGAAAUGGAACUCAUUCGACAAGACUGGGAAAGGCCUGUUCUGGUGAAAAGGGAAGAAGGCAGCAUGUUUGACUCAUCUAUCAGUCAGAAUUAUGCAAGUUGGAGAAAUGGAAAGCUUCUUGAGGUAAUAGAGUCUUCAACACAUGAGCAUCUUGAGUCAAUAAUGGAGCAUCCAAAAAGAAAAAGGACUCUUCAUGAGGAGGAACUAAGAAGACAGUUGGAGAGUUGUGGCACAGACCUCGGCAAAAGCAAAAGACAGCAACAAGUCCUGGAAAAACAAGUAGAAGAAGAAAAUAUGAUGAGGAAUUGCUUAAAACAACAACUCGAAGAGAAAGAGGAGCAACUAAUAUCUUGCAAACAAUGGCAGAAAAGAGCAGAGAUAGCUGAAGCAAUAGCCAAAGGAAGCCAGGAGGAGGUGAAAGAUCUCAUAAGUGCAAAUGACAAACUGAGUCACAAAAAUGGGAUCACAGAAAAAGAAUUGAUCAAGAUAAAGAAAUCAAUAAAAAGCAAGAUAAUUACAGAUAAAGAGACAUUGGACUCUUUGAAGAAAGAAAGGAGCGGUUUCAUAAGAAAGAUAAGAAUUGAAAAAGAGAAGAAUCGACAAGUCCACCCCGACAUAGAAGAAGAAAGAAGAGUACGUGCCCAAUAUAUGGUACAGUUGGAGGAAGAGAGAAGUAUGAGAAAGACUGCCGAGGUGGAUAGAAGAGAUUACCAGAAAAGGGCUGAGGAUUCAAAAGAGAAGAUAAUGAUUCUACAAUCUGAGUUGGAAAUACAAGAAAAGCGGCUAAGAAGACAUUAUGGUGAAGUAGAAAAAGAGUUACAUGAGCUGAAGCAAGUGCGCCAGGAAUGUCAAGAUAUUGACAGGUUUACAAUUCAAAUGAACUCCAAAAUCGCUGAGCUAGACAUUGCAAGAGAAGAAUUACAAAGAGUCAGGACUACAUUAACAUUGUUUGAGACAAUGGUCCGAACAUUGGAAAGGAGCAAUGAAGUGAUAAUCACCGAUAACGCCUUGUUGCAUGCAAAAAUAAGACAUAUGACGAAACAGAUUGGGCAAGUGGCUCGUUAUGCGGAGAGGAUGAUGCAACAAGCUACCCAAGUUGGAAAUAGUGUUACAAAAUAUCGAGAAUAUAUGGGGGCUCUCAUUUCAUUUGUUGAAGACUUAGCUGAUAAGGGGGAUGCCUUGUAAAAUAGUUUUUGUAUUAAGUGCUGUUGAUUUAUACCUUUUUGUACAAGCUUCAAUUUCGUUAUAAAAAGGUUAUAACCUAUCUUUCUUUCCACUUGAAUGUUAUAACCUAGUUCAUUAAAAUAUACAUACGCAUCCUACUUGCAUCAUACAUUUGUUUAUAAUAUGUCAUUUGCAUACCGAAGUUGAAACAUAGGUCCCCCACAUAAGGUCCAUUACACUAGAUUCAGAACAAGAAUGGAACACGAAGAGAGGGCUCACCUAGAAUCCCGCUACCAGAGCGAGCUAGAAUUAGUGAAAAGUGAAGUGUCACGGAUGUCUAAUCUGCUUGAACAACUGUUAAAAGCAAAAAGUGGGGAGGGAACAUCCACCCAGCCAGUUACGAGUUCACCCGUAUCGCACAUUCCCAUAGCAUCACCAAUUCUGGGGGCAGAUUCAGUAACAGAACAACAUUUUGCGCCAGCCAUCCCUAUCCGGCCAGCUCACACGCUACCCACCGUGGAUUUAACGACGGACGGCCUGUUGAUAGUAGGUCAAGCAAUUUUCAUAAGCCAAGAUAAAAUAUCUGCAUUAGAGGAACGGUUGAGAGCUGUAGAAGGAAAUGAUUGGUUUGACCCAACACGAGCAGCUGAUGUAUGUUUGGUACCAAACAUCGUGGUACCAAAAGAUUUCAGGAUCCCGUAAUUUACCAAAUAUACAGGCUUAGAGUGCCCAAACACGCACCUAAGAUCUUACUGCAACAAGAUGGCUGAAGUGAUCCAUAAUGAUAAAAUGCUGAUAUUUUUUUUUCAGGAUAGUCUAUUAGGCUCUGCUUUAAAUUGGUAUAUGAGGUUGGAAACUGUUAAAAUUAAGACAUGGAAAGAUUUGGUGGAGGCUUUCCUCAAACAGUAUAAAUUUAACCUGGAAAUAGCCCCAGACCGAACAAGCUUGAUGUCCAUGGAAAAGAGAAGCCAAGAGACAGUCAGGGUGUAUGCACAAAGAUGGCGAGAUGAGGCGACACAUGUCCAACCUCCUUUAAUCGAAACAGAGAUGGUGACUUUAUUCGCUAAUACUUUUAAAGCACCUUACUAUGAGCAUUUAAUGGGCAGCUCAUCUCAACAUUUUUAUGAUGUUGUACGAGUAGCAGAGAGAAUAGAGCAAGGCAUUAAAGCCGGACGCAUACCGGAGCUUCUAGAGAAAAAGGGAUUUUCCGGAAGAAGAAGGGAAGGAGAUGUUAACAACUUAGAGGGAGGGUAUAAAGGCAAAAGGGUAAAUUACCCAAACCUAGGAACAUCUACCCCCCAAUUCACCAACAUGAACUUUACCAAACCCUUGUCCCCAAAUCCAACCAACCGAAUAAAUCCCCCACCUAAUAUCCAAAACAACUAUCAAAAGCCAUAUACCAGAUAUACUUCUGAGCAAUUACCUCCAUUACCAAUGCCUUUAAAAGAUUUAUACGCUAAAUUGCUAAGCAUUGGGCAAAUAACCCCAAUCCAUCUACCGCAAAUCCAACCGCCUUUUCCUAUGUGGUACAAACCAGAACUCUCUUGCGAAUACCAUGCCGGUAAUUCUGGGCAUGCAAUUGACACUUGCUACGCUUUUAAAAGGAAGUUGUUAGAACUCAUCAAAAUGGGGUGGGUAUCAUUCGAAGAUCCACCUAAUGUCAUUUCAAAUCCAUUACCUAAACAUACUGCUAGUAGUUCUGGAGUGGGCAUGAUAGAGAUUGGCAAUCAAGGCCAAAUGUUGAAGGUAUCCAUGAAGAGGAUAUACGAUAUGUUGUUACAAUCAGGAUUCCUAAACAUAAGCACUACAUGUCAGUUGGGAAGUGAUAACUAUUGUGAGUUCCACAGGAUGGAGGGACAUCAUAUCGAAGAUUGUGUCAAGUUUCGCCAGAAGGUUGCAAAGAUGCUACUCAUGGGAGAAUUGAGACUCGAAACCCUGGGGGCAACCAGGAGGUGAGUAUGAAGAGUUCAACCUAUGGCUAAUGGGUUCUCAAAGCUGAUCUUGACUAAACCUUCCUUUACAAAAAGAGAUCACAGUGCAAUGCCAUAUAACUAUGUUUGUACCUCGAACAUUCAAGCCCCUCUCCCUUUAUUUCAUUCUGAGGUUAGUGGGCUAACACGGAGUGGCCGCUGUUUUACACCUGAGGAGUUGAAGAAGGCCAAAGGCAAAGAAAUGGUGGAUCUUGAUAAAGAAGUAGAGGUGAAUGAGCCAGUAACAGAGAAGGAGUCGAAUGAAUUUCUCAGGUUGAUCAAGCAUAGUGAGUAUUCCAUAGUGGAUCAACUCAAAAAAACUCCAGCAAGGAUAUCUCUCAUGUCCUUGAUACUAAGCUCGGAGCCUCAUCGAAAUGCCUUACAAAAGGUACUGAACGAGGCAUAUGUCCCCCAGGACAUUGAACAAAACACCAUGGAGCAUUUGGUAGGGAGGAUCCACGCUUCAAAUUACCUAUAUUUCACGGCUGACGAACUCAGUGCUGAAGGAACUGGGCAUAACAAGCCAUUGUAUAUCACCGUGAAAUGCAAAGAUUUCCUUAUUGGAAAGGUGCUUGUUGAUAACGGCUCGGCUCUUAAUGUAUUGCCCAAAUAUAUACUGAAAGAAAUGCCAGUUGAUGAGUCUCAUAUGAAGCCUAGCACUAUAACGGCAAGAGCAUAUGAUGGCUCACCUAGACCAGUCCUUGGGAAUUUAGAGGUCGAGCUGUAUGUGGGUCCACAAAUGUUCCUAACCACAUUCCAAGUUAUGGAUAUCCACCCUUCUUAUAGUAUGUUACUCGGAAGGCCUUGGAUUCAUACAGCUGGAGCAGUACCUUCCUCAUUACACCAGUGUUUGAAAUAUAUCAUGAACGGGAUGUUGGUAACCGUCAAAGCAGAGGAAACAAUCUCCAUGGUAAAGAAUGUGACCAUACCCUUUUUGGAGGCAGAGGAUUGCACGGAUGAGAAUCUUCAUGCCUUUGAGAUUGUAAACACUGAGUGGGUACCUGAAAGCACAGUGCUAAGAAAGCCGAAGAUAUCAGCAGCAGCAAAGAUGGCCGUUCGAUGUUUCUUGGAACAUCGAAUCCCAUUCCAAUAUGACCCGAUCACGGGAAUACCAAAAAGGAUUAAGCCAAUCACAAUGAGAGCUUUUGACCAAAGAUUUGGGCUGGGAUAUAAGCCUAAGAAGGAGGAUCAUCGUUGGGCUGCCAAUAAACGAAGAGAACGAAGAAUGGCUAGAAUCGAGGGAAGGGAGCCUGAAGAAGAAGAAAUGGAAAUCCCUCCACUGAUGGUUUCUUUCCCAAAGGCAGCAUAUGUGAUGCAACCAGAUAACCGAGCAGAAGAUGAUAUUCAAAGGAUGGUAACCAUGAGCAUCAACACCUUGGAAGAUGAUAAGGAGGAAGGAAGUGGCACAAAAACAAUAGUUGAAAUAGAAGAUGAAGUGCUACCACAACUGACUGUUGAAAUGGAAGAUGAAAUGCUACCACAACUGACUGUGCAUACUCUAGAAGAACUCCCCACCAAGACCUUUGUGCGAAGGUUGGCUGAAGGUGAAAAGUUUCAAAACUGGGUGACCCAAGAAGCUCCGCUAGUAUUUAAAAUGUAAACCCCUUGUGCUUGCUUUCAUAUGCUUUUGUUUGUUUAUUUGUUUUUGUCAUUCUAGUUGAUAAUCAAGGCUCAUGAUGUCAACUAGAUUUUGUCUUUAUCCAUGAUCCCACUUUUAUCAUAAUCAAGGAGAUCAUACUUUAUCUACAUUCAUCUGUGUGUUUUUCUCUCUCUUCAAUUUUACAUCAAACAUUCUUUCGCUUUCAGGAAGCCUGAAAGCGAAUCUUCCACAACAUCACAUACAUUUAAUACCAAGAAUGAAUGGCCAAACUUUAACGAACAUGUGACCAUGAUGGAAGAAGAAGAAGGGGAUGAAAAUCAUAUCAAAGAAUUCACAAAACUAGUAGAGCAACAUGAAAAAACAUGGGAACCUGCUGCUGAAGAACUUAAAAUCAUAAAUGUAGGUUGUGAUCAGUUUAAAAAAGAAUUGAAAAUAGGGACACUGAUUACGCCUAAGCAAACGGUGGAGUUAAGUGCUUUACUACAUGAGUACUCAGAUGUUUUUGCUUGGUCUUAUAAGGAUAUGCCUGGUUUGAAUACAAAUAUCGUGGUACAUAAGAUCCCAUUAGAGGAAGGGUGUAAACCAGUCAAACAGAAGUUGAGAAGAGCACACCCGGAGACAUGGAUCAAAGUGAAAGCGGAACUUGAGAAACAGUGGAAUGCUGGAUUCCUAGAAGUUGUUACAUACCCGCAGUGGGUAUCCAACAUUGUUGUCGUACCAAAAAAGGAAGGGAAAAUUAGGGUUUGUGUGGACUUCCGGGAUUUGAACAAAGCUAGCCCUAAAGAUGAUUUUCCAUUACCUCACAUAGAUAUUUUAGUGGACAAUGCUGCCCGUAGUUCCACUUAUUCCUUUAUGGAUGGUUUCUCAGGAUACAACCAGAUAAAGAUGGCUAUAGAAGACAGGGCAAAAACGACGUUUGUCACCCCUUGGGGAACCUACUGCUACAAGGUUAUGCCGUUCGGUUUAAAGAACGCAGGUGCCACCUAUCAAAGAGCUAUGGUGACUUUAUUCCAUGAUAUGAUGCAUAAAGAAAUCGAGGUGUAUGUGGAUGAUAUGAUUGCCAAGUCAAAAGAGGGAGAAGAUCAUGUCAAGGUGUUGAGGAAGUUAUUUGAGAGAUUGAGAAAGUAUGAAUUAAGACUCAAUCCUGCAAAAUGUUCAUUUGGGGUUAAGUCCGGCAAGCUGCUGGGAUUUGUAGUCAGUGGGAAAGGUAUAGAGGUGGAUCCUGAUAAAGCAAAAGCCAUCCAAUCCAUGCCAACCCCAAAGUCAGAGAAAGAGGUGAGGGGAUUUUUGGGCAGGCUGAACUAUAUUGCCCGAUUCAUAGCCCAGUUAACUACCACAUGUGAACCUAUCUUUCGAUUGCUGAGGAAAAAGAAUCCUGGGACUUGGAAUGAGGAGUGUGAAGAGGCAUUCAAUAAAAUCAAGUGUUAUUUGCAAAAUCCACCAUUACUUGUACCUCCUACGUUAGGAAGGCCUUUACUAUUGUAUCUGACAGUAACAGAAACAGCUAUGGGAUGUGUACUUGGACAGCAUGAUGAAACCGGGAGGAAAGAAAGGGCUAUCUAUUAUCUAAGUAAAAAGUUCACUGAAUGUGAGUCUCGAUACACGGUAAUAGAAAAACUAUGUUGUGCAUUGGGAUGGGCAGCAAAACGAUUACGACAUUAUAUGUUAUAUCACACCACUUGGUUGAUUUCACAAGUGGAUCCAUUGAGGUACAUAUGUAACAAGCCCUAUCUCUCCAGCCGCAUUGCAAGGUGGCAGGUUUUGCUAUCAGAAUAUGAUAUCGUAUAUAUGACACGAAAAGCUGUGAAGGGGAGCGUGAUUGCUGACCACUUAGCUGAUAAUGCUAUUGAAGAUUACGAGCCACUGGAUUUUGAUUUUCCGGAUGAAAAUUUAUUAUCAAUAGAGAGAGAAGAAGAGAUGACAGAUUGGUGGACUAUGUUUUUUGACGGAGCAGUGAAUGUAUAUGGUAAUGGGGCCGGUGCAGUGAUAGUCUCUCCUGAUCAAAAGUUGUAUCCAGUUUCAGUUAAAUUGCAUUUUGAAUGCACCAACAAUACAGCUGAAUAUGAAGCUUGCAUUCUUGGUUUAGAAGAUGCAUUAGAGAUGAAGAUUAAAAAGCUGGAUGUAUAUGGUGACUCAAUGUUGAUUAUCUGUCAGGUGAAGGGAGAAUGGCAAACCAAGGAAGAAAAGUUAAAGCCUUACCAGGAAUACUUGUCUUCACUAUUAGGCAACUUCGAAGAGAUAAAGUUCACUCACUUGGGAAGAGAAGGGAACCAUUUUGCAGAUGCUUUGGCUACCUUAGCUGCUAUGGCCACCAUUGAUCUCGGGCAUAGGGUACAACCAGUACACAUUGACAUUAGAAAUAAUCCAGCUUACUGUUACUCCAUUGAAGAAGAAAUAGAUGGGAAGCCUUGGUAUUACGAUAUCAAAAACUUCGUGCAAAAGCAAGAAUAUCCAGAGGAAGCUUCGAAGACGGAGAGAUUAUGUAUAAAAGAUCAUUUGAUGGAACCUUGCUAAGGUGUUUAAGUGAAACAGAUGUUAGAAAGGCUUUGCAAGAGGUUCAUGAAGGGAUUUGCUCAACUCAUGCUAAUGGACAUAUGAUGGCAAGGAAAAUACAAAGGGCUGGUUAUUUCUGGAUGACAUUAGAAAAAGACUGCAUUGACUACGUUAAAACAUGUCACAAGUGCCAGGUGCAUAGUGAUAGAGUCAACGCACCUCCGACCCCUUUGUUUAAUCUGGUAUCUCCCUGGCCGUUUGCAAUGUGGGGACUUGAUGUGAUCGGGCCUGUUAACCCAAAAGCCAGCAAUGGGCACAGAUUCAUCCUUGUAGCCAUUGAUUAUUUCACGAAAUGGGUAGAAGCCUGUUCCUACGCUCAUGUGACUCAGAAGGUGGUAAAGAGGUUCAUAGAGAAAGACUUGAUUUGUCGUUAUGGGGUGCCAGAAAAGAUAGUGACUGAUAAUGCUCAGAAUUUCAAUGGCAAAAUGAUAGCAGAGCUUUGUACUAAAUGGAAGAUCAAACAUUCAAAUUCCUCACCAUAUAGGCCAAAGAUGAAUGGGGCCGUGGAAGCAGCCAAUAAGAACAUCAAGAAAAUCGUUCAAAAAAUGGUAGUCACCUAUAAAGAUUGGCACGAGAUGUUGUCAUUUGCUCUCCAUGCAUAUCGUACUACAAUAAGAACCUCGACUGGAGCAACCCCAUAUUCGUUGGUAUAUGGAAUGGAGGCAGUAAUGCCGUUGGAAGUUGACAUCCCAUCAUUAAGGGUGUUGAUAGAUUCUGAAUUACAAGAGGCUGAUUGGGCCAAGGUGAGAUAUGAGCAGUUAAACUUGAUCAGUGAAAGGAGGAUAGCCGCAAUCUGUCAUCACCAGCUUUACCAGAAAAGGAUGGCCAAGGCAUAUGACAAGAAAGUUAGACCUCGUGUGUUCCAAGAAGGAGAUCUAGUGCUGAAGAAAUUAAUGUCUCUGCCGGGAGAAGAUCGCAGCAAAUGGGCUCCAAAUUAUGAAGGUCCCUAUGUAGUAAGGAAGGCUUUCUCAGGAGGAGCUCUGAAAUUAUCCAGAAUGGAUGGAGAAGAUCUAGCUAGACCUGUGAAUUCUGACUCUGUAAAGAGAUAUUAUGUCUAAAUAUGUUCAGUUUUCCCUUGAAAUCAAUAAAGUAAAGUUUGGCCAUGAUUUCUUUGUAUAAAGAACCCUGUCAUUGCAUUAAUCUCACCAUACUCAGAUUGUGCAUCUUAAACGAACUGAUUUUGUGCAUGAUUACAAGAAAUGCAUCAUAUAGUGCUCAAAGAUGAAAUUUAAGCAGUUCCUAUUAAAGAAGUGACCAAACCGAAAUAAACCUCAAAGCUAACCCUGAGAUAAAACUUUGUCUUUACUAGCAUUAUUUGUUUUUACAUGGAUGAAUGGUUAGUUAACCAUCUCUGUAAUCAUACAUAUUUUUUGUGGGAUAAGAACAAGGUUUAUCAAACUUAACAAUGUGCGUUUUGAGAUGAGGAAAGGCCAUCUUUGUCAUCCAUUCACGUUUCUAAAUAAUUUCAUCCUUCGUAAUCCCUAUUUGAGCUGGAUCGUUUUUUUAUUAUCACAACCCUGACUAGGAUCACACCCCACACUGGGGGCAAAUAAGAGGUAUUGAGAAGAUACUAAUAGAAUCAAUAGGAAAGGGAAAGUUUCAAGACAAAGAUUAACGAUGAAAAAAAAAAAAAAAAAGAGACCGACUAGAGGGUAGAAAAUAUUGAUACUAAUAUCGAACCCAAGACUAUCCAAACAAAGCAGUGAAAAGGGAUGCUAGAAUUGCCCAUUUAAUAUUUGGUCUCUUAUUAUCAUCCAGACAAAGCAGUGAAGAUAGAUGAGGAGAUUUGGUUAUGUCUCAGUUAGCAGACACAACAAAGGCACUAAAGGCAACAUUCUAAAAAAAAAACAAAAAGAGAGAGAACAAUUACAAACUGUUGGGUUUUGGUAUCAAGAACGGAAUCGUCAAAUGACUUUCAAAGAUGAUUGAUGAAUAGUUGAUCCUAGAUCAUUAAAACCCUUAAACACUUUUUGAGACCAUGAAAUUCGUUUUUUUUUAGCCCAUACCUAUAGCCUACAUUACAAGCCGUUAAAAGUCCUUUCUAAUCAAGUGCAUGUAACUUGGUUUGAUAAACUUUGAUCUCAUGACCCACAUGGUUUGAUAUAGUAUGGGAAUUUGCUGUGCUCUAUGCAAAACAAACAAUGCUAGUAUGAGACAAUUGCUUUUAUAUAUACAACUUUUUCAAGUCUAUGCUUGAACCCUUUUCAAAAGAUUAAGCAGAAGGUCACUUUUGAAAAAAUAUAAAUAAAAAUGAAGAGCUUAACCUAAAGACAACAACAUCCUAAAACCCGAGAAAACUAGUAUUGGGAAUUGCUUAAACAAGUCUUUAGUGUGUAUGUUGACAGUACUUGUAGUCAUAAACAAGUUCAAGUUUGUUUCGUGUUGUUAAAGAUUCCUUUUCUUUAGGCAACCCUAUCCUUUUCUAUUAUGUCAGACAAAGAAAAAAAAAACAAAAAAAACAAAAAAAAACAAAAACAAAACACAAAAAAAAACAACAACAACCCUUUAUUUUGAGAAAAGACAAAAAAACAUUGGCAAAAAAGAAGGUGAUAGGGCACCUAGUGAAGAAGUGGAGAUUGUUUCUUUAAAAUGUAAUGGAUAAGAAAAAGACAGUGCAAGAAACACAUACCAACAAAUUACAAAAAAACACAAGACAAGCUCAUACAAAGGAAAGGGAACCUCAGGGACCUAUGUUUCAAUUCAGGUAAGAGGUGCAUGCAUUAGCAUUACAUUUUAGACCAUUGCAUGCACAAUUUGUUUUGUUUACUUGCUUACGGAAAAUAUCUAAGUGAAGGUCCAACGAGUUUGUGGACGCUUGACCACACUUCAUUUUCAUUCCACCUGGGUAGGUCACUCAUUACAAUGAGACAGUUUUGAGUAAGGGAUUCACCACAUCAGGUCAACUAAGCUACACAGGUUUUUUGGUUCUGGUUAGAGGGGAUUGCCGAAAGGAAUCUCAGUCUAUCCCAACCAUACAUAGGUAUUUUGGUUCUGGUUAGAGGGGAUUGCCGAAAGGAAUCUCAGUCUAUCCCAACCACACAUAGUUUUUUUUGGUUCUGGUUAGAGGGGAUUGCCGAAAGGAAUCUCAGUCUAUCCCAACCAUACACAGGAUUUUGGUUCUGGUUAGAGGGGAUUGCCGAAAGGAAUCUCAGUCUAUCCCAACCACGCAGGAUUUGGUUCUGGUUAGAGGGAUUGCCGAAAGGAAUCUCAGUCUAUCCCAACCACACACAGGAUUUUGGUUCUGGUUAGAGGGGAUUGCCGAAAGGAAUCUCAGUCUAUCCCAACCACACACAGGAUUUUGGUUCUGGUUAGAGGGGAUUGCCGAAAGGAAUCUCAGUCUAUCCCAACCACACACAGGAUUUUGGUUCUGGUUAGAGGGGAUUGCCGAAAGGAAUCUCAGUCUAUCCCAACCACACAUAGGAUUUGGUUCUGGUUAGAGGUGAUUGCCGAAAGGAAUCUCAGUCUAUCCCAACCACAACAGGAUUUUGGUUCUGGUUAGAGGGAUUGCCGAAAGGAAUCUCAGUCUAUCCCAACCACACACAGGAUUUUGGUUCUGGUUAGAGGGGAUUGCCGAAAGGAAUCUCAGUCUAUCCCAACCACACAUAGGAUUUGGUUCUGGUUAGAGGUGAUUGCCGAAAGGAAUCUCAGUCUAUCCCAACCACACACAGGAUUUUGGUUCUGGUUAGAGGGGAUUGCCGAAAGGAAUCUCAGUCUAUCCCAACCACACACAGGAUUUUGGUUCUGGUUAGAGGGGAUUGCCGAAAGGAAUCUCAGUCUAUCCCAACCACACACAGGAUUUUGGUUCUGGUUAGAGGGGAUUGCCGAAAGGAAUCUCAGUCUAUCCCAACCACACACAGGAUUUUGGUUCUGGUUAGAGGGGAUUACCGAAAGGAAUCUCAGUCUAUCCCAACCACACAUAGGAUUUUGGUUCUGGUUAGAGGUGAUUGCCGAAAGGAAUCUCAGUCUAUCCCAACCAUACGCAGGUUUUGGUUCUAGUUAGAGGGGAUUAGCGAAAGGAAUCUCAGUCUAUCUUCACCAUACACAGAGUUUUGUUUUUUAGUCAGAGAGGAUUGGUGAAAGGAAUCUCAAGAAGCCCAACCGCACAUAAUGUUUUGCUUUGAUACAAAGAAUAGCCGAAUGGGUUUUCAAGCCAGUCAAGUUGGAGGAGAGUGGUGUCGAAAAUUUGGUUUUGUCUAUCUUUAUAACACUUACUAUGCAAAAUCAUUGCUCCGUAAGUAUUAUAAAGAGGGGGCAUCUGUUGUAACUCAUUUUUGGGUCUUCACCUAAAAAAUACAAAAAUUCAAAAAAAUAUAUUAUAAAAAAUAUAACAAUGAAAAAAAAAUGUCAAGCGCCUUAAAAAUAUUCAAAAAUUGAUUAGGAUGUUCAAAAAAAUUAAAAUUAAAAUUUGACAGUAUAUCAUUGACUGAUGCGAGCCCCAUGAUAAAGAAAAUUCAAUUUGAGGAAGAAAAAUGCAAAAUUAGAAGUUUAUGGACUCAAUUAAAUUUUAUUGAAGGUUUAAUUGAAUUUAUAGAGGUUUUAAUUGCAAAAACAAUUGAUUUUGGAGUUAUUUUGGGCUUUAAUUGGAAGAAAUUAAUUUUCUGGGGUCAAAUUAUAAUUUUUGGAAGUUAAUUUGGUCAAAUCAGGGGCUUAAUUGCAUAAAAAUGAAGUUUAAUGGGCAAUUAGGGACUAAAUUGAAGAAAUCCGAGACCAAGGACGAAAUUGUAAAACGCGCGCAAUUUGAGGGCCUUCUUUGAAAUCUGACGCAUUUUGGCGCCUUUUUCUUUUAAAUGAAACGGCGCGUUUUGACCAAAACGGCGCCGUUUCAUUCACUGUUGCAAAAAAAAAAAAAAAAAAAAAAACAGAAGCCCAAAACGGCGCCGUUUUGACGGCACUGUAGGUCUUCUUCUUCCCCUGGACGCGCGAGGCAGGGGAAGAAGAAGAUUUUUCUUCUCCCUUUUCGCCUAACUUCUUUCCCUAUUUUACGCAAUAAGACGCCCACCAUUCGACGCCCACUUGCCUCCUUUUUAUCCGUUGAACGGAUAGUGGAGGGGCGGCCAACAGUGGCCGCCCCACCACCAUUCCCCCCUGUUUUUGCCUAUAAAAACAGGGGAGGACCGAAGAAAAAAAAAGAAAAAAAGAGAGGAGAAGGGAAGGAUUGACGAAGAAAGAGGUAGAGAGAGACGAGAGAAACAGAAAAAAAAAGAAAAAAAAAAGAAGGAAGAGAUUCAGCAGAGAAGAGAACAAAAACAGAGGAGAGAGAGAGAAGGAAAACCACCGGCCACCGUGCCUCCGCCGCCAGCAACACCGCCUCGACGCCACCGCAGGUACACCAUCUCGUUGCCCCGCCUCUGCCACGCUUUGUUUAUGAUCUGCUGCGCCUUCAUGCAGAACGUGAAUUAAUUCACGUUCUGCAAAUAACGAAGGGCUGGUUACUGUGCUGAUGCACAGUAACCAGCCCGUUUGGGCCUGGGCUGGGCCGUCGGCCCAGCCCAUGUAAAUAGGCUUGGUCGGCCCGGCCCAUGCAUUUGGGCUGGGUCCGGCCCAUUUUUAUUUUUUUCUUUUAUUUUUUUUAUUUUUUUAUUUUUUGUUUGUUAUAAUUUAUUUAUAUUUAUUUUUUAAAUAUCGUCUUUAUUUUACAUCGUAAAAAUAUAAAUCCGGUAUUAAAAUACCCCGUUUUCGUCCCGUGGUACUGUUCACCCGACCAUUAAUUUACAAAAUCAUCAAAAAUAUUUUUUUUCAUUUAUAAUUUUUCCGCAUAGUUUUUAUGUCAUUUGGAUUAAUAUCACACAAUAUUUUUAUGUCGUAAAAUACAAAUCCGGUACUGAAAUACCCGGUUUUCGACUUUCAAGAAUUCAAAAACAAAUUAACAAAAAAAAUGUUUUUGUGCAUACGGCCAAAUGUCUCAAAAAAAAAAAUCAUUUUGUAUUUUUCAUACAAAAAAAAAAACAAUGUUUUAGCAUGCAUUUUGACUUUAAUAACCAGUUUAUUAAAGUCAAGAGAAUAUUGGCCAAAAUUUCAAAAACAACAAAAAAAUUUAUUUUGUUUAUCUUUUAAUAUCCGGGGUAUGACAUUAUACGUAAUACAUAUUCCAGAUAUUUAAUUUAUUAUUAUAUUUUUUUAAUAGAACUUGGGAUAUGACAUUACAUGUAAUGCGUAUUCCGAACAAUAAUAAUAAAAAAAAACCACAAACACGACCUUAGAUUUUAUCAGACAUUAAAACAAUGCAGCCUACCUUAGGUAGGGCGUAGUUGGGGUGCUAAUACCUUCCCUUUACGCAACCAGUCUCCGUACCCGAUCUCUAAAGACCAGUUAAGGUUCCUAGUAACCAGAAUACUAGGUGGCGACUCCCAGUCCAUUUUUUUUUACAUAUAGAGACAAGAAUUCCUUGUCUCUCCUUAUGUUCCAGGAAUAAAUAUUCCGAUUUUUCCUUGAGGGUGGACGAUCGCCAUCGCCGCGGCGCCGCACACGUGUGACACUCCUUAUGCUCCACCUCCUAGAAGAAAUUUUGAGGAAACAUUGCAUGAAUUCAUUGAAAAGCAAGAGAUAAUCAACAGUCAACUUGCUCAAGGCAUGACAGAUUUUAAAGAUACUCUUGCAAAGUUAACAUCUGCUCUCAUUUUUCAAGAGAAAGGUAAGUUUCCAUCUCAACCACAACAAUAUCCAAAAAGGCAAUACAAUGCAAAUGCAAGUAGUUCUGGAAGUCAACACAUGGAUCAAGUCAAAUCAAUCAUCACUCUUCGUAGUGGUAAGGUUAUUGAAAAACCCACUCUUGAACCUAGUAAGAAAGAUGAUGAGUUAAUCUCUAAAGGUAAGGAAGGGGUUAAAUCUGAACAUUGUAAAGAAAAGACUAAUUUUCCGUCAGCACUUCCAUUUCCUCAUGCCAUGACCAAACAAAGAAAAGUCAAUCACAAUUCUAAAAUCCUUGAAACUUUCAAACAAGUAAGGAUCAAUAUACCUUUGUUGGAUGCUAUUAAAGAGGUAACUUUCUAUGCUAAAUUUUUGAAAGAUCUAUGCACUAUAAAGAUAAAACUAAAUGUGAAAAAGAAAACAUUUUUAGCCGAACAAGUAAGUGCUAUUCUUCAUAACAAUAAUGCUUUGAAAUAUAAGGACCCUGGUUGUCCUACAAUUUCUUGCUUUAUUGGAGAACAUAAAAUUGAAAGAGCUUUACUUGAUCUUGGAGCUAGUGUGAAUUUACUUCCAUAUUCGGUUUUUCAAAGUCUCAAUCUAGGUGAGUUGAAACCAACUUCUGUAAGUCUUUUACUUGCUGAUAGAUAUGUAAAAGUACCUAGAGGAAUAGUUGAGGAUGUGUUAGUAUAAGUUGAUAAAUUCAUUUACCCUAUAGAUUUUGUUGUCUUGGAUACACAACAUGUUGAAGCAUAUAAUUCAAUUCCUGUUAUUUUAGGACGUCCAUUUCUUGCAACUUCUAAUGCAUUGAUUAAUUAUAGAAAUGGACUGAUGAAGCUAUCAGUUGAAAACAUGACAUUGAAGAUGAAUAUUUUCAAUAUUUGCAAGAAACCUGGAGAUGAUAAUGAUUUACAAGAAGUGGACUUUAUUGAAAAAUUAGUUCAUGAUCAAUUUCAAACCACUUCUAGUGAAACUGAGAUUGAUGAACCUGACGAGUUGAAAAUGGUCUAUUUUCAGGAAGAAACGAAGGCAUGUAAUUGGAGAUCACAAAUUGAAGAAUUGCCACCACGAUCAAUUGAGUCCAUACCUUCAAGUGUUCAACCACUAAAACCUAAUUUGAAGUCGUUACCAUUCAAUCUCAAAUACUCAUUUUUGGGAGAAAAUAAAACUUUUACGGUAAUAAUCUCUUCCAAACUUAAUGCACAUCAAGAAGGUAAGUUAUUACAAACUCUGAAAAUGCACAAUAAUACAUUAGGAUGGACCAUAGCUGACAUAAAAGGAAUUAGUCCUUUGAUUUGCAUACACAUGAUUUAUUUGGAGGAAAAUGUUAAACCCUCUAGAGAAAUGCAACGAAGACUUAAUCCUAAUAUGAAAGAAAUAGUGAAAAAUGAAGUCAUUAAGCUUCUAGAUAAUGGAUUCAUUUAUCCUAUUUCUGACAGCAAAUGGGUAAGUCCUACCUAAGUUGUACCCAAAAAGUCUGGAGUCACUGUGAUAACAAAUGAGAAAAAUGAGUUAAUUCCAACUCGGACUAUUACUAGUUGGCGCAUGUGCAUUGACUAUAGAAAACUUAAUUCAAUGACUAGAAAAGAUAAUUUCCCUUACCUUUCAUGGAUCAAAUCCUAGAAAGAGUUGCAAAUCAUGAAUUUUACUGUUUCCUAGAUGGCUAUUUAGGUUACAACCAAAUUGAAAUUGCAUUGGAAGAUCAAGAGAAGUUUCACAUGUCCAUUUGGUACUUUUGCAUAUCAAAGAAUGCUUUUUGGAUUAUGUAAUGCACCAGCCACAUUUCAAAGAUGCAUGCUUAGCAUAUUCAGUGAUAUAGUUGAACGUUUUCGUGUGAUUUUUAUGGAUGAUUUUUUUGUUUUUGGUGAUUCAUUUGAUGAUUGUUUAACCAACUUGGAAAAGGUUUUGAACAUGUGUGAAGAGAAGAAUCUUGUACUGAAUUGGGAAAAAUGUCACUUUAUGGUAACAAACAACAUUGUACUUGCUCUCUCUCUUUAUAUAUAUUUUUUGUAAUUCUUAAGUUUUGCUUUCAUUAAUAUCUUGUUUAUGCUUUUCAUUUCCUUUCCUUUAUUUAGUUAACUUGUAUCUUGUUUAUGUUCUUAUUUUGUUUAUUUAUGUUUCUCUCUUCAUUAUGUUUAGCUAAGAUUAUUAUGUCAAGGUGAAAAUGUUACACUAAUGGUGUAAGAAUAAGUAUGGUGUAAACUCAACAUGGACCUUAAUGUUUAAUAUUAACAUGUCUUAUCUUUUUAUCUUACUAAUUCUUAAUAUCUUGCUUGUUAAAUGGUUAAUCUAGAUUGUGCUGUAUAACACUUGGUACAAGAAAUGCUUGGCACUCUUAUAGCCUAACCGUAUGGUAUUACCUACACCUAUGCUAUGAAUGGAACUUGAUUUGUUGUUAACAUAAGUUAGCAUCAUGAAUUUCUGAUAAUAUUUAAAAGUUUGGUGUUACGUAAAUAAGAUAAUUAAUAUGAUCAUGUUAUCAAUUUAUAAUGAGCUAUUAAAGACAAAUCAUCCGAUUGGAACCUCUUUUGUGUGUGGUUUCCAGUUGGGUAAUAAGAGUUUAUACUAUACUUGUUUGAAAUACCAUUAGUGGAUCUUCUAACCUUGACAUUUGUUUUUAUUAUUGUUUGAUCCUUACAUUAAUCCAUCUGAAAGUUCUCAUCAACUUCUUUAUUAUUAUUGUUGUUGUUGUAUUAUUAUUAUUAUUGUUUAUAAUUUAUAUAAUUAACCUCCCUAUGGUUCGACCCCGGUCUUGCCGGGUUAUUUAUUACUUUGACACUCCUGCACUUGGGAGAAGACAUCAAUUAUUUGGUCGUGUCAAUGAGGUUAUCGAACUGCAAUAUCAUAGCGUGUAGAAUAAAGUGUUUUUAGUCAAAUGUUAUUGGUAUGACACAAUUGACAGAGGAAUCAUAGUAGAUCCUCAAUAUGGUCUCGUUAAAAUCAACUCAAAAUCUAGACACCGCAAUGUAAACGAUGUCUUUCUUUUCGCAAAGCAAUGCCAACAAGUUUAUUACACAUACACCCCUUCCUUUAGAAAGGAUCGAUCAUGAGUUGAUUGGUUAUCCAUUUUAAAAACAAAACCAAGGGGUCGUGUCGAGGUUGCUUAGGAUGAGAACGAAGACACAAGUGUGAUAGAUGAAGUCUUUCAAGCUAGUGAGUUGAUUGAACCAUACCGAGUUGCUUCUUUGAUUGAUUUAGAAGAAAAUUUGAAUUUUCGUGUUUUCAACGAUAGUCUUAUUGAUGUUGACGUAGAGGAGUUCAAUGUUGUUUUGAGCUCUAUAGAACAUGAUAACCACAUUGAAUAGUGCGAUAAAGCUGAUGAUAACAAUUCAAUUGAGGAUGAAGAUGAAAAUUCUGACUAAAUAUGCUGUAAAACCUUAUUUUUAUAAUAUAAUAUUAAGGAUGAUAUUUUGGAACAUGAAAUAUUUAUUCUUCUUUAAUUGUCAUCUCUUGUUAUUGCGUUGUGCGUGCUGUAAGUUUGUAAUUCAAGAUUUUGUGUAGGAGGAUAGACACCCAUAUAAACAGAAGCUGCAAAAAUAUUGAUAGUUUUACCGACAGCCUGGAACCUGUCGGUAUUAUACUGAGAGUUGAAAAAAAUUUAUAGCAUUUUGCCACAAUGACUAACGGGUAUACCGACUGACUGGUGCCCGUCAAUAUUUGACCAAGAGUUGCAAAAAAAUUACAGCCCCUACUAUACACAUCGAUGGAUAUACUGACAGAUUCAUCGACGAUUGGUGCACUUCCUGAAGUGCACGCCUGUCAGACCGCCUGGUCGGGCGGCACAAUUACCGAAGGAUUUGCUGACAGACGCGGCAAAUCCAAUGGGCUCGUGCUUUGACAUAUGUUUCCUAACGAACCAAAACAUUUUGGCAGGAUUUUCAAAAUUUUUAGAGCGGAUAUCAAUUAAUUACCGACGGAAUUUAAUGCCACCGCCCAACAAAAAUAUCAUUCACUAUUCCAUCGAUAAUUUUGUCGAAAACAUUGUAAUAUAAAACCCCCCCGCCUAGUUCAUUUUUUCUCGGCUCUUCAUUUCUAUUUCUCUUCUCCUCUCCGUUUGUUUUAAGUGUUUGCAAGAGGUUUUAUUGUUUUGCUGGUAGUUUUCAACAUAUUAAAAGGUAUGUAUUUUUCUUUUUUUAUCUUGUAUUUUUUAAUUUUUUUUUAAUUAUGAUUACUUUUUGGUGUUCUUUGUUUUGUGUAUUGUUUGGAACUAGGCCAUCGGUAUUUUUACCGAGAGUUGCAAAAUUAUUACCACCCAUGCCACAAUCACCGACGGAUAUAUUCCGUCGGUAUUUACUAUUGCUAUUACCAACAAAAUAUAUCUGUCGAUAUUUGUCAGAGAGUUUUGAAAUAUUUACUGCCAUGCCAAAAUCACCAACGGAAUAUCCAUUAGUGAUUACCGUUGAAAAUACAUACGAAAUUAUUCUGUCUAUAAUAUUCACGCGGGAUUUUUUUUGGGGCGCUUCACUGUCUGUAAUACCGUCGGUGUUCCAUCGUUGUUUUGUUUUUUUAAUUACUGAUAAAAUUGGCGACGGAAUGGGAAAUUACUGACGAUCAAAAUUCUGACGGGCGGAUGUCACUGAGGUUGUCGGUAAAAAUAUCAUUGACGGUUUAUGUGCCUCAUACCGACGGAAUGAAUCCGUCGAUAAAAUUGUUUAAUGGUUUAGUGUGAUGAAUGAUUUUAUAUUAUUCUCCAACAUGUCUUUUAAAAUGAAAGUUUCUGGAGUUUUAAAAUUUAUAUGGGUUUAAUAAUAUUUAUGUUUAGUUUUUUUUUUAAUUUACAUGGAGAAGAAUGUUGAUUGUGGUGAUAUUAAAACUUUUAUGGCUUAGUCAUUAAAACUCUGACAUCAUAAAAAAAAUCAUCUUAAGUAAAAAUUUAAGUUAAUAAAUUAAGUUUAAUAAAUGAUUUUAUAAAUAUUAUUUUUUGACAAAUAAACUUUCCAUAUAAAUAAAUGAUUUUAUAAAUAUUAUUUUUUGACAAAUAAACUUUCCAUAUAAAUAAAUGAUUUUAUAAAUAUUAUUUUUUGACAAAUAAACUUUCCAUAUAAUCAUCUUUGAGAUUUGAAUUUUAGAAGUGGUAGUUGAGAAUAAUGGAAUGUGUUGGGUUGUGCCUUAGCCAUCCUUCCUAUUUAUAUAGAGGCAGCAGAACACUGCAGUAACUAUAGGGAUUACAACAUCCUAUUUUAAUUUCAUAUUCUGAUAGAUACAUGAGUAACUGUAGGGAUUACAACAUCCUAUAUUAAUUUUCUAUUCUAAUAGAUACAUGAUAUACAUUCUAUACUAUGCCCCCUUAAGCUGAGGGUGGGGGAUCAACUCGAAGCUUGAACCAAAAAGUAGUAAAUGAUGCAACAGGAAGCGGUUUAGUGAAGACAUCGGCACAUUGAUCCCGAGAGGGAACAAAACGAAUUUAAAUUUCUUUCUUGGCAACACGGUCAUGGAAAAAGUGAUAAUCCACUUCAACAUGCUUAGUACGAGCAUGAAAGAUAGGAUUUGCUAAGAGAUAGGUAGCACCAAGAUUAUCACACCAAAUGGUAGGAGCAGAGACUAAGGGAACAUGCAAAUCUGUUAACAAGUAUUGAAGCCAAAUGACUUUAGCGGUACCAUCAGCAAGGGCUUUAUACUCAGACUCAGUAGAGGAGCGAGCAACAGUGCGUUGCUUGCCGGAUUUCCAAGAAAUCGGUGUGUGACCAAAAAAGACAAGAUAGCUGCCCGUAGACUUGCGAUCGUCAAUACUACUAGCCCAAUUUGCAUCUGUAAAGCCAUGUAGAGCAAAAGAGGAGCCUCGAGUGAUAUGGAAACCAUAAGAUGAUGUACCUUUAAGAUAGCGUAAAAUACGUUUGAUAGCGGCCCAAUGAGAAUCUGUAUGAGCAAGCAUGAACUGACAGACUCUGUUAACAGCAAAGCAUAUAUCUGGACGGGUACAGGUAAGAUAUUGAAGAGCACCCACGAUUUAAGGAAAUCGUGUAGGAUCAGAGAAUGAAUGAUCCGGUAAUAAAAUGACUUUUGAAGGGGAGACUAGAGUAUCAACUGGUUUGCAGGAAGUCAUACCAGCUCAGGUGAGGAUGUCAAGAAUAUUUUUAUGUUGACGCAGCAUUAAACCCAUACCGGUAGACUGAACUUCAAUACCCAGAAAAUAGUGAACAACACCUAAGUCACGAAGCUUGAACUCAGAGCUGAGUAACUGUAUAAGGUGAUGGAGCAUAGCAGCAUUGCUACCCGUGAGCAGAAUAUCAUCAACAUACACCAGAAGAUAAAAGAUAUUAGUACCAUCAGAUAAGAUAAACAGGGAGGUGUCAACCUUGGAAGCUCGAAAACCAAUGGAGAGCAAAAAAUCACUUAGACGAGUGUACCAUGCUCUAGGUGCCUGUUUCAAACCAUACAAUGAUUUGUGUAAUCUGCACACAUGAGAUGGAAGAGAAGAGUCAACGAAACCUAGAGGUUGUUUCAUGUAGACCUCUUUACUAAGAACACCAUUGAGGAAGACAUUAUGAAUAUCAAGCUGAUGAAUCUCCAAUUUCACGAAACCGCGAUAGAGAAAACCAAUUGGACAGUGGCCUGCUUAAUAACUAGACUGAAGGUUUCAGAAUAAUCAAUACCUUCUUGCUGGGUAAAACCUCUAGCAACAAGGCGCGCUUUAUAGCGCUCAAUACUACCAUCAACACGAUGUUUGAUCCAAUAUACCCAUCUAUUGCCAACAACGUUCAUCGAAGGAUAAAAUGGAACCAAAGACCAAAUGUGACUUUCGCGUAAAGUGGCGAUCUCAUCACUCAUAGCAUUAUGCCAAACUGCAUACCGGUCAGCAUCAGAGAAUGCAAAAGGCUCAGAAGAGGGAGAAUAUAGCACCCGUAUAGAGGUAGAAGUAGCGGCAGCGGAAGCAACCAGAUUAGUUGUCUUUGGCUGUCGCGGUCUAAAAGUCAUAGGAUGUUUGUUGUGUGCUAGUGGAGAUGUAGCGGAAGACGGUUGUAGCGAGGAGACCUGUGGCAGCUGAUAAGAAGACAAAUCAACCAUAAGUUGCAGACCAGCGAGAGAGGAUGAUAAAGAAGCAGCCUCAAGCAUAGGACUGUCAGCAGAGGAGGGGCUAAAAGCAGAGACUGAAGCUGCAGAAGUGCUGGCCAGGGAGGGCGAAGUAGAGGAGGGACUAGAAAGUUCCCCAAGACCAUGAGGAGAGGAGACCAAUUGACGAUCUGAACCUGCAUCAUAAAGGUUAGAUAAACAAGCAUGGGAUGAUGGCCAAGGGAUGGGUGGAGGUUGUGGUCAGGUGGCUGUUUGGAGUGGCAGAGCGGAGUAUUGUGGGCUGUUUGGGUGGCUGGUGAAAGUGGGUGGCGGUCGAUGGUGUAGCAAAUUUGGGAGGGUGACAGUAGCGGGUGGGGUAAGGGUUGUGGCGGAGGCCUUUGCAAUCUAUUAAGAAUUAUCAAAUGGAAACACAUGUUCAUGGAAGCGGACAUGACGGGAAAUAUAAAUACGAUGAGAUGCAAUGUCAAGACAUCGAUAACCAAGAUGUGAGGAACUAUAUCCAAAAAACACACAUGGAGAGGAAUAAAAAUCCAAUUUAUGAUUAUUAUAUGGACGGAGAAAAGGAAAAUAGAGACACCCAAAGGUACGCAAAAAAUGAUAAUCAGAAGAUGAUGAAUACUAAUGGUCUAAAAAAAUAUGGAUAGUUUUCGGUAUUCACCGCCCCAAUCAGUUUGAACAAAUUUUAUUUUUAAUGAAAAUUAACGUUCGACAAGAGUUUGAAAUUGAUGAAAAACAGAGUAAACAUCAGACUUGGCAAUGAGAGGAUAAUACCAUACAUAUUUAGUAUAAGCAUCAACAAAGAUAACAAAAUAACGAUAGCCAUCUGAAGAAAAAAGAGGAGCAGGGCCCCAUACAUCACUAAAAAUUAAUUCAAGUGGAGCAGAAGUUUUGUGACCCGUAGGUCCUAAAGACAAACGCGAUGAUUUUCCUAAAGGACAACUUUGACAUUGAAAAUUAAGACGUUUGUUGUUACAAAUGAUCUUAUUUUUCGAGAUUAACAAUUGAAAAAUACGUGAAGUAGGAUGACCUAGUCGACGAUGCCAUAAAUCGGCAGAGGCAGAAGUGCAGGGAGACCAAUAGGCUUGAGGAACUGACGUGACGGAAGACUUGGUCAGGGCAUAGAGACCAUCUUUACUCUGACCUGAGAGAAGGACUUCAUGGGUGUUGAAAUCCUUGACAUAAAACACACGAGGGUGAAAUUCAAAAUAAACAUUAUUAUCAAGACAAAAUUUCUGAACAGAGAGCAGAGGUUUCGUGAUUGCAGGAACAUGAAGAACAUUAGAUAAGGUGAAAGAACGAUGUGGUGUAUAUAUUUUUGUAUGACCAAGAUGAGAUAUAGGAAGGCCCUUACCAUCACCAACAUGCAAAUUAUCAUUACCAAGAUACGGUUCUGAAGCGGUCAAGGUGGCAAGAUCAGGUGUGAUGUGUUGAUUGGCACCGGUAUCAAUAAACCAAUUAACAGAACCGGUUGAGGAGAGAUUGCGCUGCACCAGGUUGGCAGUAGGUUGUUGGCCAUAACCUCGUUGCUGGAAUUGAGGGCAAUGGGGAGCUGUAUGACCAAAAUUAUGACACAGUUGGCACCAAGAGCCCUGCCUAUUGUCAUCAAAGGAGGAGUUUUGGAAGCUGCGGUGAUCAGGUCUAGAGCCAGCAAAUCGAUUGCCUCUGUUGUUGGACUAGUUGGGACGCCAGCCAUCGUUGAAGCGGCCCCUGCUGUGGCCAAAAUUGCCAAAAGUCUGGCGCUGCGCAAUAAGAGUAGAAGAUGGAAUCCUUGGGUGUGGGCAGCAAAGGAGCAUGUAUGGCAGCAGAAGAUUUGUGAAGAAAUUCAUGUGUGAGGAGAUGGCUGUGAAGAUCUGCAUAUGAUAAAGGUUCAGCCUUGGUAAUAAGACUGGUAACUAAGUCUUUAAACUCUCCCUAAAGACCAUGAAACACAUAUAAAUUGAAAUCUUCAAGCAAAACUGGCUGACCAGCAACGGCCAAUUCAUCAAAUAAGGCCUUCGUUUUUUGCAUAAAUUGAGUUACUAAUUCAUCACCCUGUCGAAGAUCCUGAAGAGAGCCGUGAAGUUGCAUAAUACGAGAGUUGGAGGUGGAAGCGAGAGCUCGCUCAAGAGUGCCCCAAGCUGAACAAGAACUUUGACAGCCAACAACAAGAUGCAAAACUUCCAUAGAUAGGGAGGAAAGAAAAGCACUUAGAAUUAGUUGGUCCUGUUGUUUCCAGGUUUGAAAAAGCGGAUUUACCUGAAGAGAGAUACCAUCAUGGGCAAGAACAUGUGUUGAUGGACAUGUGUUGGAGCCAUCAACAAAACCAAAAACUCCUUGGCCUAGGAGAUAAGGCAGCAUCUGCAUACGCCAAUAUAAAUAAUUGGUGUUUGUUAAUUUGAGGGAGAUGACUUGAUGAGUGUGAGAAAGGGAGAUAAUGCUUGCAGCAGUAAAGGUAGCAAACGUGGGCUGCAAGAGGAGGCGUUCACCAGCCAUGGCAGAGGAGAAUCCAGGCGGUGACGCAACAGAGGAAAGCAGAGGAGGCAUUGCAAGAGAAGAGGGCUGCACUGCCGGAGAAGAAGAAAGAUGGACUGCUGGUGCUGCAGAAUUUGAAGAUGUAUGUGGCGGUUGUUCCAUUGAAGAAGGGAGGUUGGGAGGCUGUGAAAAAAGUAGGUUUAAUUUAUUUUAGGGUUUUGUGGCUCUGAUACCAAGUUGAGAAUAAUGGAAUGUGUUGAAUGGUGCCUUAGCCAACCUUCUUAUUUAUAUAAAGGCAACAGAACACUGCAGUAACUAUAGGGAUUACAACAUCCUAUAUUAAUUUCCUAUUCUGAUAGAUACAUGAGUAACUGUAGUGAUUAUAACAUCCUAUAUUAAUUUUUUAUUCUGAUACAUUCAUGAUAUACAUUCUAUAAUAGUGGUUACUGGAAUAUUAUGUUAUGUAUAUUAAUCUGUAUUUAAAUCAUAGUUUACUUAAGACUUGAUUGGAGAGGAAUUCAAGUGGUGUUUUCGUCCUUUUUUGGUUGAAAGGCAAUGUUUCAGUCAAGUUAAUGCAUGCAUGUUCUAUAAAGCAGCAUAGGCUGGCCUGGUGGUAGGAGUGAUUGAGAUUGCGGCUGGAUUGUGUUUUUAAAAUAACUUGAAUUUUAAAUAAAAAUUUAAUUUUUUUUUAAAUACAGUUUAAAACACGUUCGCAAACUAGCUGAAUUUUCAAGAAUACAUGAUUGCUGAUUCAAACACAUGUUUAUCAUUGCGAAUUAAGGGAGAAAAAAAAAAUAAAAAGAAGAAGAAAACUAGGCUAUGCUUUGGCAAGUAGUACAGCAAGGAAGGAAACCACGCCACGCCACUAAAACCAUGCAUGGACCCAACGAUUAUCCCUUCGGCGUGAUACACGAGCAGAUACAGUAAAACGAAGAGCAAGAAACCAAGAAAAACCCUUAUCUUGAUAUAUUAUGAUAGGAUUUUCAGAUUCUUACGAGGUCCACUCGAUUUUGGACCGACAAUUAUGAGAACUUUAAAUUAAACAUGCUUGUCAUUGCCCUAUCUUUUAAUUAUAAAUCAUCUCCAAUAAAUAAUAUUUAUAUAGUAUUAUUUAUUAAGAGUAGAAUAAUACUUUCAAUUUAACAUAUAUAUACUUUAUUUAUAUUUAGAUUAAGUUUAAGUACUCAUAAUAAACAGAUUAUUGAGAAUUCUAAUCUUUUUUUUGUGUUUAUUUUUAGUUAUUUUAACAUGAUAUCAGAGCUAGUUUUAUAGAACGAGGCUUAUAAUCUUAAAUACAACUUCACAGAUCCAACUAUGUGGUGAGUUGGAUGAGGGUUUGCAGGGGGCAGCGCGCCCUUGCCAGGGUUCUGAGCAAAGCCUAAGCACUUAUAAAUAUAAGUUAAACUGAAAGUAUUAUUUUACUCUUAAUAAAUAAGACUACAUAAAUAUUAUAUAAUAUCUCCCCUCAAACUCACGAUGCAAUUAAGCCUAAGCAUUCAUAAUAAAUAGAUUAUUAAGAAUUCUAACAUUUUUUUUUAUGUUUUUUCUAAGUUAUUUUAACAAUCUCCUCGUCUUCCCGUCGCUUGUUCUUCUUAAUUGUAAUCUUCCAGUAGAAUAGAAUGAGUGUGUAAUCAAACUUUUUGUUAAAGUCUCCUACUUUCCUUCUCCUUCCCAGUAUGAGUCUGGUUUGCUCCAGGUUAGUGAUUCUAAAGAGAGCUACCAAGCAAGAAAGUAUGAGUCUGGUUUGCUCCAGGUUAGCUCUCUUUGUCUACCCUGUAAAUUCAAUUAAAAAGAAUGAACGGAAUUGUUUUUACAUAACCCUUUUUUUUUUCUUGUUUUAGUUAUAUAACAUUAAACAUAAAAGAUUUAUGAUAAAUAGAGUGCUAGACUUCUAAAUAUUUUAUAAAUAUGCUUGUUCAAAAAAAAAAUAUAUGAACUAUAAACUCAUAAACAAUCAAAUAGUAAAAAUUUCAAACAAAUAAAAUGCUAGAUUGCUUAAUAUUCUAUAAGGGUGAUCUUUAUCAUGUAGGAAGUAUAUUUUAGCCAUCUCCAACAACCAACAUCUAAUCUAAUUAAUUAUAUCAAUCAAUUGAUAAAAAAUAAUAAUAAAAGAAAAGAAAAAAGUUGGUCUUUAAUUAUUUUAAUUUGUAUUUUAUUUUUGUUUUAAUUAUGUUAUGGUGUUAUUUUGAUUAAUUAUCAAUAUAUAAUUAGUUAAAAAAAUUUACAUAUAAUUUUACGAUCUAAUUUUACAAUCCAAGUUUGUAUUGUAUUUUUCAUGUCAUGUUAAAAAAUUAUUUUUUUUACAACUUUGCCAUUAUCACUUCACUCGUGCUUUAUAUUACUUUUUAUGCCUUGUAUAAUCUAAUUGACUGUAUAUCGAUGAUGGGUCUAUAAAUACCAACAGAAUCAUGAGGUGCAUUCAAACCAUCUUCUUUUCCUCCCUGGAUUUCUUUUAUAUCCAAUUCCAAAUGAUUCUUGAGGCUCUCAUUUUGGUAUUCCUUUAUGGUUUCUGGAAAAUCUUGGCCAGAAAUAGUGAAAGCAAAAAAUCAACCAGAGCCCCUGAACCAUCCGGGGCAUGGCCAAUACUUGGUCACCUCCCUAGUCUGGUUGGCAAAGACCCAGCAUGUAAAACCCUUGGAGCCAUUGCCGAUAAAUAUGGCCCUAUUUACUCACUCAAGUUCGGCAUUCAUCGAACCCUAGUGGUCAGUAGUUGGGAAACAGUGAAGGAUUGCUUAAACACCAAUGACAGAAUUUUGGCUACCAGAGCAGGCAUAGCAGCAGGGAAACAUAUGUUUUAUGACAACGCAGCUUUUGCAUUAGCCCCGUAUGGACAGUAUUGGCGAGAUGUCAGAAAGCUGGCCACUCUUCAGCUUCUAUCAAAUCAGCGGCUUGAAAUGUUCAAGCAUGUCCGUGUGUCAGAAGUAGACACGUUCAUCAAAGGUUUGCACAGUUUUUAUGCAGGAAAUGUGGGCUCCCCUGCGAAGGUGAAUAUAAGCAAAUUGUUGGAAAGCUUGAUGUUCAACAUAAACCUUAGAACAAUAGUCGGGAAGCGAUAUUGCAGCAGCACAUAUGACAAGGAGAACAGCGAGCCCUGGCGUUACAAAAAAGCCAUAAACAAAGCCUUGUAUCUGAGUGGGAUUUUUGUAAUGUCGGACGCGAUUCCAUUUCUUGAAUGGCUUGAUUACCAGGGGCAUGUAAGUGCCAUGAAGAAGACUGCCAAGGAACUUGAUGCCGUGAUACGAAAUUGGCUGGAAGAACAUCUUAAGAAAAAAAAAGAUGGCGAACUGGGAAGCGAUCGUGAGAGCGACUUCAUGGACGUGAUGAUCUCUAACCUUGCCGAAGGUCCUGAUAAGAUUUCUGGCUAUUCGCGUGAUGUUGUCAUCAAGGCAACAGCUUUGGUACGUUUCCCAACUGUAAGCCUUUAGUACCUUUCUUUUUUUGGCGCACCGCAGAGACCUUCCAGUCGCCUACCAAUUGCGCUAUCGUUCAGGUGGUAAUUGACUUGCAAAUAUUUUCAGUUUCACACGUUUUGUUGUAAUUUUGCAGAUUCUGACCCUCACAGGAGCAGGAAGCACAGCAACUACAUUAGUUUGGACCCUGUCCCUAUUGCUAAACAACCCAGCCGUGCUAAAGGCUGCUCAAGAAGAGCUGGACGAGCAAGUAGGAAGAGAAAGAUGGGUGGAAGAAUCAGAUAUACAGAACCUCAAGUACCUCCAAGCAAUUGUGAAAGAAACCCUGCGCUUAUAUCCUCCAGGCCCCUUAACAUUAACACGUGAGGCCAUGGAAGAUUGUUCUAUUGGUGGCUAUGAUGUUCCUAAGGGCACUCGACUAGUAGUUAACAUAUG
rnacentral:lncRNA from 1 species